rnacentral:rRNA from 1 species
AUGAAAACUCAGGUCGAGAUGCUAAAACCAGCAACUUUGGACGCGGCUAUGGACUUAUCCAUCUCUUUUGAGCACCUCAAUACUGUCACCAGCACCGCGGCCACCCCUGGCCGGCCCAACCGCCCACUCCGCCCCAUGGCCGCACCUACUCCGGCCUUACCAAACGCCUCCAACCGCAUGCCUGCGCUCGUCUUCAAAAGACUCAUGCCGGCUGAGAUGGAUGAACGACGCACUAAGGGUCUCUGCAUCAAUUGUGACGAGAAGUUCACGCGGGGCCAUCGCUACAAACGGCUAUUUUACAUUCAGUUCAUCGACGCCGAAGAGGAGCACUUUGAAGAUUUCCAGGAAGCACAAAUCCCCCUCUUGGCAGCCACCAGAAUUCCCACCACUGACACAAUGUAGGUUGCUCUUUGCAUUGGAGACCAUGACUUGGUCGCCUUGCUGGAUUCGGGCAGUACUCAUUGUUGGGAAACGUAG